rnacentral:piRNA from 1 species
UNGCUAAGUAGUUUGUCUACAUUUAGGUCC